CCAGCAUCCCUGGGCAGCCCGUUCCAGGCUGUUGCCUGGGCCAAAAUACAUGUGUCAAGCACACACGGAAAGACACAUGGUCAAAGGGGAAUGUCAAAUAUUGCUAUUCCAACCCCCAAUAAUUUGAUUUUUGUUUUCCCAAAGGAAGUGAGGAGGUAUUAAGUAUUCUCUAUCUCCUAUGGCUUAUGUUUAAAAUUAGGCACCCCCAAAGAAGAUACACUUGAUUAGGCACCCCCAAAGAAGAUACAUUUGAUAGGUUUUUCUAAAAGCAAUAACCUGGCUGUUAUGCCUGGUUGUGUCUCUUACCUUGUGUGACAAUUGCCUGCUGUUUUGCUGUGGGAAAUACUUAGAGACCCUUGCUGCCAUAUCCAUGAUAUUGUUACAUUAUUGCAGUGGAGACCUUAUUCAGAAGGAGAAAGUUUGCUCUGGAGCUAAGGAACGCCCAUCAAAAAUUCAAUUUCUUUAUGACCUCAGUUUUUCUUGUGGGAAUGACAGCUUCAUAAGGAUGUUUUGACAUUUUAAAGAUUGAUGUACUCAGAUGCGAGCCUUUGGCUGUCCAAAAAGGAGGUUUGUGUAAGUACCUAAAGUUACAAAAACCUGUCCUUACAGUUACCAAAGAAGCAGAGGUCCCAUACUUGUAUGUUCUCCAUACUUGCUCUGUUGAUGAUGUCCCUAAAUCUACAAGCAAUAGAUGUGGAUCUACAAGCAGACAAAAUGCAUUCUGAAACAUUUAGCUAAAGGAUUGAGUUCAGUGAACAACAGCUGAAUGCCAGAGCAUGUAGAAGUGAAAAAGGCUAGUUUCAUUCAUGAAUGUGCCAAGACAUGAAUCAACAGUAAUUGAAAGCUUGUAGAUCCUUCCAAUAUUUCAAUUAAUGACUAGGAUGGUGCUCAUUCCAUUUCUGUUUGACAUGAAGCCAGGAAGGACUGAUGGUGCACUGCAAGGCAGUCCAGCUUGUACAGUAGCAUCACAUCAAAACAGGUCAGAGGGACUGAAGAUUCCGGACAAGUUGGAAAUUCCCUGUAAGACCAACUGGGCAGCCAAGCAUGCCCCAACCCACAAUAAAUCUAACACUGAAGGUGUCUUAUAUACUCCUAUAUUAA